rnacentral:rRNA from 1 species
GACGAACGCUGGCGGCGUGCUUAACACAUGCAAGUCGAACGGAAAGGCCCUGCUUUUGUGGGGUGCUCGAGUGGCGAACGGGUGAGUAACACGUGAGUAACCUGCCCUUGACUUUGGGAAAACUUCAGGAAACUGGGGCUAAUACCGGAUAGGAGCUCCUGCUGCAUGGUGGGGGUUGGAAAGUUUCGGCGGUUGGGGAUGGACUCGCGGCUUAUCAGCUUGUUGGUGGGGUAGUGGCUUACCAAGGCUUUGACGGGUAGCCGGCCUGAGAGGGUGACCGGCCACAUUGGGACUGAGAUACGGCCCAGGCUCCUACGGGAGGCAGCAGUGGGGAAUAUUGCACAAUGGGCGGAAGCCUGAUGCAGCAACGCCGCGUGCGGGAUGACGGCCUUCGGGUUGUAAACCGCUUUCGCCUGUGACGAAGCGUGAGUGACGGUAAUGGGUAAAGAAGCACCGGCUAACUACGUG